GGGUCAGUAGGUUGGUCGUGCCACCGGUACGUACUGGUCUCACUGAUUCCUCCUUCCUGAAGAACCGUAAUGCCAUUAAUUUGGUGUUGCGGGGAAACAGGACAGUUACUUUGAAAAAAUUAGAGUGUUUAAAGCAAGCUAACGCUUGAACACAUUAGCAUGGAAUAAUGAAAUAGGACGAUCGAUCCUAUUUUGUUGGUUUCUAGGAUUGACGUA
rnacentral:rRNA from 1 species